rnacentral:rRNA from 1 species
CAGGCGGCCUUCGUAAAAAGCUCCUCGUUGGUGGUGAAGAAAGAUAGAGGAGAAACUGGGCCUUUAUUUGACGGUAAUCACCUAGAAAGUCACGGCUAACUACGUGCCAGCAGCCGCGGUAAUACGUAGGUGGCAAGCGUUGUCCGGAUUUAUUGGGCGUAAAGCGAGUGCAGGCGGUUCAAUAAGUCUGAUGUGAAAGCCUUCGGCUCAACCGGAGAAUUGCAUCAGAAACUGUUGAACUUGAGUGCAGAAGAGGAGAGUGGAACUCCAUGUGUAGCGGUGAAAUA